rnacentral:rRNA from 2 species
GUAACACGUGGGUAACCUGCCUGUAAGACUGGGAUAACUCCGGGAAACCGGGGCUAAUACCGGAUGGUUGUUUGAACCGCAUGGUUCAAACAUAAAAGGUGGCUUCGGCUACCACUUACAGAUGGACCCGCGGCGCAUUAGCUAGUUGGUGAGGUAACGGCUCACCAAGGCAACGAUGCGUAGCCGACCUGAGAGGGUGAUCGGCCACACUGGGACUGAGACACGGCCCAGACUCCUACGGGAGGCAGCAGUAGGGAAUCUUCCGCAAUGGACGAAAGUCUGACGGAGCAACGCCGCGUGAGUGAUGAAGGUUUUCGGAUCGUAAAGCUCUGUUGUUAGGGAAGAACAAGUACCGUUCGAAUAGGGCGGUACCUUGACGGUACCUAACCAGAAAGCCACGGCUAACUACGUGCCAGCAGCCGCGGUAAUACGUAGGUGGCAAGCGUUGUCCGGAAUUAUUGGGCGUAAAGGGCUCGCAGGCGGUUUCUUAAGUCUGAUGUGAAAGCCCCCGGCUCAACCGGGGAGGGUCAUUGGAAACUGGGGAACUUGAGUGCAGAAGAGGAGAGUGGAAUUCCACGUGUAGCGGUGAAAUGCGUAGAGAUGUGGAGGAACACCAGUGGCGAAGGCGACUCUCUGGUCUGUAACUGACGCUGAGGAGCGAAAGCGUGGGGAGCGAACAGGAUUAGAUACCCUGGUAGUCCACGCCGUAAACGAUGAGUGCUAAGUGUUAGGGGGUUUCCGCCCCUUAGUGCUGCAGCUAACGCAUUAAGCACUCCGCCUGGGGAGUACGGUCGCAAGACUGAAACUCAAAGGAAUUGACGG